rnacentral:rRNA from 1 species
GACGAACGCUGGCGGCGUGCCUAAUACAUGCAAGUAGAACGCUGAAGGAGGAGCUUGCUUCUCUGGAUGAGUUGCGAACGGGUGAGUAACGCGUAGGUAACCUGCCUGGUAGCGGGGGAUAACUAUUGGAAAUGAUAGCUAAUACCGCAUAAGAGUAGAUGUUGCAUGACAUUUGCUUAAAAGGUGCAAUUGCAUCACUACCAGAUGGACCUGCGUUGUAUUAGCUAGUUGGUGGGGUAACGGCUCACCAAGGCGACGAUACAUAGCCGACCUGAGAGGGUGAUCGGCCACACUGGGACUGAGACACGGCCCAGACUCCUACGGGAGGCAGCAGUAGGGAAUCUUCGGCAAUGGACGGAAGUCUGACCGAGCAACGCCGCGUGAGUGAAGAAGGUUUUCGGAUCGUAAAGCUCUGUUGUAAGAGAAGAACGAGUGUGAGAGUGGAAAGUUCACACUGUGACG